rnacentral:rRNA from 1 species
CCUACGGGAGGCAGCAGUGAGGAAUAUUGGUCAAUGGACGAGAGUCUGAACCAGCCAAGUCGCGUGAAGGAUGACUGCCCUAUGGGUUGUAAACCUCUUUUGUCUGGGAAUAAAAUGUUCCACGUGUGGGAUUUUGUAUGUACCCUAAGAAUAAGGAUCGGCUAACUCCGUGCCAGCAGCCGCGGUAAUACGGAGGAUCCGAGCGUUAUCCGGAUUUAUUGGGGUUAAAGGUGGCGUAGGGGGAGUGUUAAGUCAAUUGGGAAAGUUUGCGGCUUAAACCGAACAUUGCAGUUGAAACUGGCAGUCUUGAGUAAAGUAGAGGUUGGCGGAAUGCGUGGUGGAGCGGUGAAAUGCUUAGAUAUCACGAAGAACUCCGAUUGCGAAGGCAGCUUACCGGACUGCAACUGACACUGAGGCUCGAAAGUGUGGGUAUCAAACAGGAUUAGAUACCCUGGUAGUC